AUACGGAGGAUGCAAGCGUUAUCCGGAUUUAUUGGGUUUAAAGGGUGCGUAGGCGGUUCGCUAAGCGGGAGGUGAAAUGCCGGCGCUCAACGUCGGAAGUGCCUCCCGAACUGGUGGACUGGAAUGACUCUGCCGUGGGAGGAAUGUGUAGUGUAGCGGUGAAAUGCUUAGAGAUUACACAGAACACCGAUUGCGAAGGCAUCUCACGAAGGGUUGAUUGACGCUGAGGCACGAAAGCGUGGGGAUCAAACAGGAUUAGAUACCCUGGUAGUCCACGCAGUAAACGAUGAUGGCUAACCGCUGGUUUUUUCGGAUCAGUGGCCAAGCGAAAGCGAUAAGCCAUCCACCUGGGGAGUACGACCGCAAGGUUGAAACUCAAAUGAAUUGACGGGG
rnacentral:rRNA from 1 species